GUAACAUACACUCUUCAUGGAGAUAUAAUUUAUACACAGUAAAGGCACAGAUUUUAAAGAUACAGCUUGAUGAGUUUUGACAAAUGUCUACACCCAUGUGACUACCACCCCAAUCAAGAUGCAGCACAUUCCCAUCAUUUUAGGAAGUCCCCUGCGCCCCUUCCCAGGCAAUCUCAUCCCCUAUCCUUCCACAUAAGCCUGAAUGACUUUCCUUCUGCCAGAGAUCAGUUCAGACAAAUGGUUCAGAGAGAACGUCAUAGAAAUGGAGUCACACAUGCUCUUUAUCUCUCAUUUUUCUCAGUGCAAUGUACUAAAGUUUUGUCCAAUAGGGCAUUCUGUUUAUAUUGCUGAGUAUUAUCCCAUUGUAUGAAGAAACCACCAUUUAUGAAUCCAUUCUACUCUUGAUGGACAUUUAGGUUGUUUUCAUUUUUUGCAGAAUAUUUGUUUUUGAAAGAAGCUUCUUUUUUCCAACAUUGUUUGGCUGUUUGAGAAUAUUUUGAGCUUCAGAAAUGUAAACGAGAACGUGAAGAAAGCGUCCUACCAUCAUGGGGGCUGCUACUUAUCACCCUUUCUCUCCCUGUCAUCUUGCCCAGUCUCUUCAGUUACAUGUUGUUCUUCACAGGGAUUGUCAAGAUUUUUCAUUAGUUUCAGGCCACAAACUGGAAGAUCAAUGAUGCUGGAGCCUCAAAGGGAACACCAGGGAAGCUGGAGCACCCCGAGGCCACUCUCAGUUGACUGGCACAUUGAUCAGCCUGCCCCCACACUCUGCAUAACAGCCCUUUCACUCUGCUGCAUGUUGAGAAAAUCACCUGGCUUUUCUAAGUCUCCAAUAAAAGACACAGGUUCACAUGAUUGUGGACACAGACUCACGGACCCUGAGGAGAUGAGAGAGGUGCUAAGAGCUGUCUUUCCAGAGAAGGAGAAAGAAACAGCAGGCAAACGUGAUGCAGACACGAGGUGGACAGUAAAGCUAAGACUGGUUGAGGUAAAAGUGAAAAGCUAGGAAAUUAAGGCAGACCCAUUCGGUCUUUAAGAGAACUAUCCUAAUAGAGGCUGUGUCAGCGUCUCCUCAGCCCUGAGCUACGCCAUUUAGAAAUUAUCAGAGCCCUGUGGGAACAAGUAAUCAUCUCAAAUCACCUUUUCUGUCCGAGAUUUAUUAAUUAAUUAAUUUAUUUAUUAAUUUAUUUAUUUAUUGUGAGGAAGAUUUUCCCUGAGGUAACAUCUAUUGCCAAUCUUCCUCUUUUUUUGCUUGAGGAAGAUGGUCCCUGAGCUAACAUCUGUGCCAGUCUUCCUCUAUUUUGUAUGUGGGAUGCCACCACAGCCUGGCUUGAUGAGCAGUGUAGGUCCACACUCGGGAUCUGAACCCGUGAACCCCAGGCUGCUGAAGGAGAGCACAUGAAAUUAACCACUAUGCAACUGGACCAGCCCUGUGCCCGUUUUAAAAACUCUGAACAUUUUUGCAGUCAUUGGAUUAUAUUCCAUGAUCUCAAAGGUCCUCUAUCAUUUGAUCCUUGACUCCUCUCCAGCAGCCCUUCAUAUGUCUGUCCCCAGUUUGACUUCUUGUGGGACAGAUUCAUAUUUUAUUUUACCUAUGCAAUACUUUUAAAAUUUGAACCAAAUUUACAAAUUGGGACAUUUCAAAUUAAAACGUGGGUUUUUGUUUCUCUUAAAGGCAUGGAAGAUCUGCACCUGGGCCUACAUUCCCCAAGUGGUUAGCUGGAGACCAGAGGUGGCUUCUCUCCAUUUCUCCAUGGUCCUCACCUUUCCCAGUUGUCUCACUGAUCCUGAGGCUGUCAGUUACCACCAUCAUCAUACUUACAUGGUUUUGCUGGUGGAGGAGAACCAUUUAUCUUUAUUCUUCUUGUAGUAAAACCCAGAAAAAUGAAAAACAAAUUGAGAGUAUCAGCCAUUUUCAGAAAAAU
rnacentral:lncRNA from 1 species